rnacentral:misc_RNA from 1 species
UACGGAGGGUGCAAGCGUUAAUCGGAAUUACUGGGCGUAAAGCGAGUGUAGGUGGCAACGUAAGUCGGAUGUGAAAUCCCCGGGCUCAACCUGGGAAUUGCAUUCGAUACUGCGUAGCUAGAGUCUGACAGAGGAAUGUGGAAUUCCGGGUGUAGCGGUGAAAUGCGUAGAUAUCCGGAGGAACACCAGUGGCGAAGGCGGCAUUCUGGGUCAAGACUGACACUGAGGCUCGAAAGCGUGGGGAGCAAACAGG